rnacentral:lncRNA from 1 species
GUCGAUAUGAUCCCCUGUGGUUUAAUAGUUUUGUAUCUGUAUAGGGCGUUCUAUAGGAUCCCCGGGGCGGUCUAUAGGCUCCCAUUGUUUGGUUAUCAUGUAUUCACUAGAUUUAUCUACUAGAGAGCGUUCUAUGGGAUCCCCUGUUGGGUCUAUAGGAUCACCUGUUGUGUUAUAAUCGUGUAUCUGCUAUAGGGCGUUCUAUAGGAUCCCCUGGGCGGUCUAUAGGACCCCGUAUUGUUUAAUAAUCGCAUAUUUGCUAUAGGGAAUUCUUUGGGAUUCCCGGGUCGGUCCAUAGGAUCCUCUGUUGUUUGUUCAACAUGUUUCUUCUAGAAGGUGUUCCAUAAAAUCCCAGGGUCGGUCUAUAGGAGCCCUGUAGUUUUUUCAUCAUGUAUCUAUUAGAGGGCGUUAUAUAUAUGCUCCCAUAGGCGUUCUUUAUGAUCCCUUGUGGUUUAAUAAUUGUGUAUCUACUAUAGGGCGUUCUAAAGGAUCCUCGGGGCGGUCUAUAGGAUCCCCUGUUGUUUGUUCAUAAUAUAUCUAUAACAGGUUGUUCUAUACGAUCCCCUGGGCUGUCUAUAGGAUACCCUGUUGGUUGUUCAUCAUGUAUCUAUAACAGGUUGUUCUAUACGAUCCCCUGGGCGGUCUAUAAGAUCCCCUUUUGUUUAAUAAUCGCGCAUAUUCUAUAGUGCGUUCUAUAGGAUCCCUGUGUCUGUCUAUAGGAUCCCCUAUUGUUUAAUAACCUUGCAUCUGCUAUAGGGCGUUCUAUGUUAUCCCUUUCAAAGGUCGAGGGGGCAUAUUGUUAUUGGUUGUUUUUUUUCUUUUUCUUUUCUUUUUCCCCAUAAUUUUAUUGUCCUGACAAAUUCUUGGAAAAGGAUAGACACAUUCAUCUUUAUGGAAUUAUGGCAUAAUGUAAACCAUUAUAUAAAGUUGUGCUUUUUAAUAAGGGGAUGGUCCAAGAUGGUCUCGAUUACUAUAAACACUGGUCAACAGUAUUUUUUUUAUGUUUUUUGUAUAUAUUUCUAGUAUUCCUGAGCAUAGAACCAUGAUAUUCAAUAUACAAAGUAGGUGUCAACAAUUUGUAUGAUCCUCAGAACUACAUGUACCUAGCAGUAGGUAGUUGUGUUUUUUUAGUAUAAAUUUUAUUUCAAAAUUGCUGACGGUAACCUAGCAAUGGCAAGGUCGUCUGGCAACUUGACAACAGUAUGACAUCCGCCUUUGCUCGCAAUGGCAAUUCUAUUUGUUUUCGUAUUCUUAUGGAUUUGUACAGACAGGAGAAAAGAAAUUGACCCGUCUUUUAAUAUCCCUUUCCGAUAUAUUGAUGAUGUACUGUCUAUUAAUGAUAAUAGAUUCAAUGAGUAUAUAUAUGGCAAGCCGUUUUACUAUUUAUUCUAACUUCAAGAUAGCUCAU